GAUGAAGAACGUAGCGAAAUGCGAUAAGUAAUGUGAAUUGCAGAAUUCAGUGAAUCAUCGAAUCUUUGAACGCACAUUGCGCCCCCUGGUAUUCCGGGGGGCGUGCCUGUUCGAGCGUCAUUUCACCACUCAAGCCUCGCUUGGUAUUGGGCAACGCGGUCCGCCGCGUGCCUCAAAUCGACCGGCUGGGUCUUCUGUCCCCUAAGCGUUGUGGAAACUAUUCGCUAAAGGGUGUUCGGGAGGCUACGCCGUAAAACAACCCCAUUUCUAAGGUUGACCUCGGAUCAGGUAGGGAUACCCGCUGAACUUAAGCAUAUCAAUAAGCGGAGGA
rnacentral:misc_RNA from 1 species